rnacentral:rRNA from 1 species
GAUGAACGCUGGCGGCGUGCCUAAUACAUGCAAGUCGAGCGAACAGACGAGGAGCUUGCUCCUCUGACGUUAGCGGCGGACGGGUGAGUAACACGUGGAUAACCGACCUAUAAGACUGGGAUAACUUCGGGAAACCGGAGCUAAUACCGGAUAACAUGUUGAACCGCAUGGUUCAACAGUGAAAGACGGUCUUGCUGUCACUUAUAGAUGGAUCCGCGCCGCAGUAGCUAGUUGGUAAGGUAACGGCUUACCAAGGCAACGAUGCGUAGCCGACCUGAGAGGGUGAUCGGCCACACUGGAACUGAGACACGGUCCAGACUCCUACGGGAGGCAGCAGUAGGGAAUCUUCCGCAAUGGGCGAAAGCCUGACGGAGCAACGCCGCGUGAGUGAAGAAGGUCUUCGGAUCGUAAAACUCUGUUAUUAGGGAAGAACAAAUGUGUAAGUAACUAUGCACGUCUUGACGGUACCUAAUCAGAAAGCCACGGCUAACUACGUG